UACGUAGGUGGCGAGCGUUGUCCGGAUUUACUGGGCGUAAAGAGCGCGCAGGCGGUCGUACAAGUCGCGUGUGAAAGCCCCCGGCUCAACUGGGGAGGGUCACGCGAUACUGUUCGACUCGAAGGCAGGAGAGGGUAGUGGAAUUCCCGGUGUAGUGGUGAAAUGCGUAGAUAUCGGGAGGAACACCAGUGGCGAAGGCGACUACCUGGCCUGUUCUUGACGCUGAGGCGCGAAAGCUAGGGGAGCGAACGGG
rnacentral:rRNA from 1 species